rnacentral:lncRNA from 1 species
AUUUAGUACAUUAGAAAACAUAUAGCAAGUUACCAAAUCUAAGAGUUAGAACUGGUCAGACUUCUGCCAAGUUACUUAAGUAAAAGAAUGGGUAACAACAUUAGAAAUUUUAAAAAAGCAUGUAUUCAAAAAAGCUAAAAAAAGGUAGGAAAUAUAGUUUAUAUUAUCACAAAAAACUUUAUUGAAAUGGAUGAUUUUCUAGGAAAUUUAAAAUUACUAAUUUUAAUUUUAGAAUAGUUGAAAAACACAGAAAAUAAAAACAUGUUAAAACAGAUGGUUGUACAGGAAAUUCACUUAAAUGUCUUAAGGAACAGAAAAUGAUCAUGUUAAUAAUCAUAGAUGGAAAACCUACCAAUCAAGCAUAAUCUUUAUAUCAAAAGCUAGCACAAGUGAUGAAUAAAAUUAUAGGUCAAUUUCACAUGUGAACAUAAAUAUGAAAAUGAUUAAAAAAGGGACCCUCCAUUAAAAUUAUAAAAACUAUAUCAUGACCAACAAAGUCUUAGUACUCCAUUUUAAGGAUGGUACCAAAUUAGGAAAUAUAUAAUUAAAACUUAUCACAUCAGGAGGUCACUGGAGAAGAAUCUGUAAUCAUCUACCAAAAAGACAUUUGAUAAAACAUAACAUCCAGUACUGACAAAAACUAUGAUUAAAAUAGGCAUAGAAGGAUAAUUAAUUAUCUCGGUGGUUCUCAACCAGGGACAUUUUUGUCUUGAGGAGACAUUGGCAAUUUCUGGAAACAUUUUCAUUGCCAUGAUUUGAAAAUGGUGCUAUUGAUUGUGAAGAGGCACAGGUCAAGGAUACUCCUUACUAAACAUCUCAAAAUGCACAGGAAAAUGUUUCCCUCCCCCUAUGAAGAAUUACCGAACUCCUAAUAUUGAUGAUACCAAGAUUGAGAGUUGGUUUAUGUGACAGUCAACCUCAUAACUACAAUGAGUACCAUACUAAAAACUGAAAAAUUGCAGGAAUUCUUGUUUCAGCCUUACAAGUCUAGGAUAAUUAUCCAAUGAACAAUAUAAUCAAAGCAAUAAAAAGAAGUGAGGAUUAAGUACUGGAAUGAUCAAAGCAUAGUAUUAUUUUGUGACAAUGUGAAAAAACCCAACAACAUUAUUGGAAAUACUCUUAUGCCAUAUAAAGGAGUUCAAUAAUAUCAAAUCUAAAGUUAGUAUGGGUGGGGGAAUAUAAUAAUACUUUUUCAGAUAAAAAAUUAAUUUAUAAACCCAUGAUGAACAAAAGAGUGAUACAUCAAAAUAAUCAGUUAAAUCAAUGGAAAUAAAGUCAAUAAAUAAGCAUAACUAUAGUAAAAGGGGAUGCACUAAAUAGUACAUAGAAGAAUAGCUUAAUAGCUAGGGAUGUAGCUCAGUGGUGCCAUGCCUGCCUCACAAGUGCAAGGUCCUGAGUUUGAUCUCUGGUACAGGAAAAAAGAAGAAAAGAAAGAAAAAGAAGAAUUUGUUAAAAAGGACAAGAUAUAAUAAUUGUACAUCAUCAUGUGCUUAACAAUAGAGCUUUGGAAAAUAUGAAACAAAACUAAUAGAAAUACAUAAAGAUAGUACAUAUUUGUGGGACAAAUUUCAUACUUCUUGAAGAAAUAAAUAUUUCAAAUAGACAAAACUAACAGUGUAUAGAAUAUAGAUGACAUGACCAAUAGCUUUAUACUAACAAACUUAUAGUGCACAUUCAUUUCAGACACACAUAAAUCAUUCAAACAAAUUGAUAACAGAAGAGAUCAUAAAGGAAAUCACAGCAAAUCUGAAAAAGUAGAAAUUAUAGAGGCUUCUUUAUUCCCUGAAUAAAUGAGAAAAGAACUAGAAGAGAUUAAAUCAAUCACUAUAAAUCAUAUAUAGAAACACUUACCAAAAAAUCUUGCAUUAAUAAGGAAAUGAAAAUUAUACACUACUUAGAAAUAAGCCACUAGAGCAUUAAAUAGUAAAACCUGUGAGAUGUGGCCAAAGCAGUUAUUAAAGGUCAAUUUAUGGACAUAAAUGCAUAAAUUAGAAAAUGAGGGAAAUUGAAAUCAAAUGUACCAAAAUAAUAUUUAGGAUACUAGGAAGAACAACAGAAACAAGAAAAAAAUAUCAAAUCUCCAGAGAGUAGAAGGAAGGACCUAAUGAAGAUUAAAAACUGACAGCAAUAAAAUAAGACCAACAAAGGCAGUGAAAUUGAGAAAAACAUCUUUAAGUUUGUUUAGGAAAAAAGGGUAUAAAUGAAUAGUAUCAUAAAGAGAUAAAAUGGUAUAAUUACAGAUCAGAAGGAAUAGUGUCUUUAUAUCAAUAACUGAGAAAAUAGAUGAAAUACCAAUUUUCUAAAAAAACAUACAAAUUAGCAACAUUAGCUCAAGAUGUAGUAGGCAUCCUAAACGUGCUAUUUCUACUGAUGAUGUGGGAAUGUCAGUUAAAGAUAUUCUUUUAGGAAAACCAUUAAGCUUGGAUGGUUCUAUUAUUUGACUUUAUUACACUUUUAGAAAAUAGAUAAUCAUUAUGUUGUAAAUUGGAAAGUUACCUUCUGAAUUAGUAUAAAUUUGAUAUUACAAUCAUAGCAGAAGCCAAAGCAUUUUUGCUGAUUAUUCUUUCAUGAUAAACAAGAAUCACCUCUUCAAAUAUUUGUUUCCCACAUGAGCUGUAAAAGAAAAAUUAUUAAGGGAAAAAUGUCUAUCAGAAAUCCAUACCAGUGACUAAACUAUGAAGAGUACUUCCAUUCAAAGCAUGACCUAGAGAAGGUUUCCUAUUAGUUCUACAUUGAAUAUUCUAUUGAAGUUCCAACCCCAUGCUAUAUAACAAGAAAAAAUUAAAAAGUCAUGUAGAUAAUGUAAAGAAAGAGAUAAUAGCAUCAUUUUGAUUUUUUUCAGCCAACUUCCCUAAGAAAGGGUAAGAUACAAUCAGUUGAGAAAUCAUUAGAGUUAUUAAGAAAGUUUCAUAUAAUGGCCCAAUACAAAAUAAAUAUAUAAAAAUGGAUAGCUUUUGAUACACAAGUACUAUCUCAUUAGAAAAAGUAAUAGACAAAAUAACCCAAUUUACAUAGCAUGAAAACUACAAAAUAUCUAGAAAAAAACAUUAGAUUAUUGAAAGGCAUAAUAGGCCCAAGUAAGAACCAUCAAGACAUAUUAUAAUCAUAUAUUGGUUCAAGUAGAAUGGUAUCCAUGCUAAAGAUUUGACUAGAGCAGUAUAAUAGUCUGGAAAAAGAUCCCUGUUUAUAUGCAUAUUAUUUUGUGAAAGUAGCAUUUCAUAUUAGUGAGAAAAAGAAUGAAUAAAUAGUAUGAAAAUAUGAGAUACCACUUGGAAAAGAAUCUAUCUAUCAUCUAUCUAUCUAUCUAUCUAUCUAUCUAUCUAUCUAUCUAUCUGUUACGGUACUGGGGAUUAAAACGGGUUUUGGCACGAGUGCACUGAGUUUACAUUUCCAGCCCUUAAAAAAAUUAUUUUGAGGUAGGAUCUGGCUAAGUUGUUCCAGGUUGGGCUGGGAUUUGAGAUCCUCCUGCCUUAGUCUCCCAGUACUUGGAUUAGGGUGUGCACCACUAUACCUUGCUGAAAAAUAUUGUAUUUUUUAAUGUUACUUUACUUGUCAGAGUAAGUUCCAGUGUUUUACAAAAACAAAACCUUUUAGGUUAACUUUUUAAGUUAGUAAAAUAUUAAAUACAUUAGCUAUAGAAGCAAAUAGAAGUCUGUCUCAAUAAAAUUGUAAGGUUCAUAAACAUUGAUCUCCUCGAAAUAGAAAGUAGAAUAUGGCCACUGGAGGCCAGAAUGAGUAGGUGGGAGAGAGAUGGAGGGAGGUUGGACAGUGAGUAUCAAAAUGAAUUUAGUUAGAAGGAAUAAAUUCAAGUGUUUUAUAACUCCAUAGUGUGAUAAAGUUUUAUAUGUGUUUUAUAAAGCACUAGAAGAGAGGAGUUGGAAGUCUACCAGUACAAAGAAAUGAUAAAUGUUUAAAGAGGUUGAAAUGCUAAUUACCCUGGUUUUAUCAUCACAUAUUGUAUCACAUAUCAAAUUGUAACCUUAUACCCCAUAAAUAUGUACAAAAACUUCCAUAUGACAAAAGAUACUAUGAACAAAAUUAAUAGAGUACAUGCUAGUGGAAAUAUUUACAAUAUCUGUAAUAAGCAGAAGAUUAAUAUCUAACAUAUGUAUAAAAUUUGGAAAUAAAAAGUAAAAAUCAUCAACCCAAAAGGAAAAUAAGAAAUGGAUUCUUGUUCUAUUUUUUUCUGCAGUACAGCUUUGCAAUUCUUCCAGGAAAGAUGUGGUGAACUUUGAGUCCUUAAACAAUUUAAAAUGUUUUUCUUUUGCCUUAAGGCUUGACUGAUAUUUUGGAUGGGUAUAGAAAUGUAAAUGUAGUAUAAUUUUCUUUCAAAAUUUGAAGGUGUUGCUCAAAAACAGUCAGAUGUCAGUGUGAUCCUUGUUCUUCUGCAAGUAAACUUUUUUUUCUAAAAAGUUUUUUAAUGUGCUUUCUGAAUUUCAGAGGGAUAACUUUGUAACUUUCUCCUGUUACCCUGCUUGGUAUUUAUGGAUUUUAUUGUUAACUCAAAGACUUUAUUUUCUUCUUCAGGUCUUGAAAAUUUUCAUUUAUUAGUUCUCUGAUUUUUUUUCCUUUCUGCCAGUCUAUUUUUUCCCAUUACCUCUCUGGGAUUUAGAUUUCAGGACUUUUGAAUUUACCUUCCAAGUCUCUUUUGCUAUGUCUCUGUCUCUGUUUUUCCCUUCCUUUCUCCUUUCCUUAGUUAAUUCCUUCCUUCCUUGGUAUAAUUUUGUCCUGUGUUUUAUUUUGGGGAAAUCAAUAUUCUACCUCAUUAAUUUACCCUUCAGCUAUGCCCAUUAGCUAUUUAACCAAGUGUCAUUUUCUUUUAAAACUGAACUGUCAUACUUUUUUGUCUUUGGGAUUUUAAAUUGUUUUUUUUUUUUUUUUGGUACCAGGGAUUGAACUCGGGUCCUUGCACUUGCGUGCCAGGUGGUGAAACCACUGAGCUAAAUCCCGGGCCCUUAAAUUGACAUUUUAAAAAUUAAUUUUAUUGGUACAUUUUAGGUAUACAAUAUAAUAACACUCAUCAUUGGAGAUUUGUACCUUUACAUAAUAUAUCUUGAUUCUUAUUUUAAAUUGAUUUUUGAAAUAGCCUACUUCACAGUCCAAAGAUAUCAUUAUAUUUUGUUAUUACUUUACUUGAAGUUGAAUCCUAUAUACUCUAUUGACUCAAUUGACACUACUGAUAUUUUAAAAAAUGUGUUGAAUAUGGCACCCAUGAACUAGGUUCACAGCGCACUGGGUACCGCUUCGGCCUGCUGUAUCUUGGGCUGUAAUUUCCAUUACUUGUAUGAGUUUGGUGAGAAAGAACUUAUACAACAUUUUAAGCAGAGCAACUUUAUUACAAAUAUAGGCAACAGAUGAUAGUAGAAGGCUAAGGAAAGUUGCUCUGAGAAGACAGAAUCUCACCUGUGUUCCCACCUUGCCAAACAGCUGAGAAACCCUAGAAAUCAGCCCCCUGUGCUUUAUCCCUGGGGUAACAUGACUAGCAGGGAUGAAGCAGUUUCUACGUGUCUCAGAAUGUUGAAUUUCCAGUACAUUCUGCAAUUAUUCUAAAGAACUACAAGCAAGAAAGUUGGGGAAACCGAGUUAGUCCAAGAAAGACCCUCCCCAAAGAAUUAUCCUACAUUCACUGACUGGGAUAGAUUUCCUAAAUGUUCAGUUGUCCUUGGCAAUAUCAUUGUUUUUAUAAUUAAGAACCUCAGUUAAUUUUUUCCAUAAUUUUAGAUGUAUAGCUUGAUCAGUUUUGACAAACGUAUCCAAUUAGGUAAAUAUCAAUACAAUCAAUGGAGACAUUAUUUGUAUUUUGCCAAAUUUCUUUUCUGCUCCUUUUUAGUAAUUCUGCUCCCCAUAUAUUGGCAACCACUUAUCUGUUCAUACUUCCUCUAGUUCUGCCUUUAUACUUCUGAGUCUGGCUUCAUUCGUUUAACUUAAGACUUUGAGCUGCUUCUAUAUUGUUGCAUUUAGAAUUCCAUUGUAUGGAUAUAGUACUACAAUUUGUUAAUGUGUUCACCAGUUGAUGGGCAUUUGGAUUGUUUCAGUUUUUGUGAUUACAAAUAACUGCAUAUGUCUUCAUUUCUCUGGUAAAUAGCUAAGGUGUAGAAUCGCUAGAGCAUAUAGUGAGUAUAUGUUUAACUUUAUGAGAAGCGUUAAUAUUUUCCUACUGACUAUGCUUUACAAAAAACUUUUUAUUUUGAGGUAAUUGUAGAUUCAUGUGCAGUUGUAAGAAAGAAUUCCAUGUUUCUUUUACCCAGUUUUUACAAUAGAAACAUGCUACAUAUCUGUAGUGGAAUAUAACCACCAACAUAUUGACAUUGAACUAAUCAGGAUGCAGGAUAGCUGCAUACCAUGAAAAUCCUCCUGACGUUCUUCUCCAUCCCCAGGGUCCUAGAUCCCACAGUCACUAAUCUAUGCUCCAUGUAUUUGUUAAAGAUGUCCAUAGAGAAUGCUAUAUAAUGGGAUGAUACCAUGUUACACUAACAGACUCAUAGAUAACAUUGUCGGGGAUUUAUCUUUCUUCAUAUAGCAUAAAUUCCUGGAGAUGUACAAAAGUUGUUGUAUGUCAUCAGUUGCUCACUCCUUUUUGUUGCUGAGUAGUUUUCCACAGUUUGCUUAACCAUUCACCUAUCGAGGGGCAUCUGGACUGUUUCCAGUGGGUGAUCACAAAUAAAGCUUCUGUAAACAUAUCUCUACAGGUUUUAUGUGACCAUAAGUUUUCUCUGUCUGGGAUAAAUGCCUGAGAGUACAAUUGCUGGAUCAUAUGGGAGUUAUAUAUUUAGUUUCUUAAAGAAACUGCCAAACUGUUUUUCCAGAGUGCCUUACCAUUUUGUAUUCUCACAAACAAUGCAUAAGUGAUGUAGUUUUUCUGAAUCCUCACUAGCAUUUGGUGGUGUCAUUAGUUUUUAUUUUGGCCAUUCUGAUAGGUGUGUAGAGACCUUUCAUUACAGUUUUAAUUUACAUUUCCUUUGUGGCUAAUGCUGUUGACUGGAUUUGACAUCUGUACACUCUCUUCAAUGAAAUGUCUUUCUGUCUUUUAUUCAUUUUCCAAUUUGGUAAUUUGUAUUUUGACUGUAGAGCUCCAAGGGUUCUUUCUAUAGGUUAGAUGUUAGGACUUUGUUGAAUAUAUUUGUUAGAAAUAUUUUCUCUCAGUCUGCGGCUUGUCUUUUCACCCUCUUGAUAUGAUUUUUUUGAAGAGCAAAAUUUAAAAUUUUGAUGAAGUACGUGUUAUCAAUUUUUUUUCUUUUAUGAUCAUGCUUCUGGUGUCGAGUCCAAGAACAUUUUGCCUAGUCCUAGGUCCUGAAGAUGUUCUUUUAUUUUCUUCCUAAAAGUUUUAUAGCUUUACCUUUUACAUUUAAGUCUGAGACUGUGAUUCAUUUUGAGUACUUUUUAAAAAAAAGUAUAAGACUUGAAUUGGGGCUCAUUUUUUUCCUGUACAAAUAUUUAUUUGUUCUAGCACCACUGAAUUGCUUUACAUCUGUAUCAAAAAACCAGUUAUAUAUAUUUGUGUGGAUCUAUUUCUGGCUUCCUUACUCUGUUUUCUGUGUCUCCCUGUAUCAAUAUCACAAUAUAUUUAUUGCAUUAGUGGUGAAGUAAACUUUGAUGUUGGGUAGAGUGAUUCUUCAUUCUUUUAAAAAGUUUUUCUUUAUUCCUUUUCAAGAUUGUUUUGAGUUUCCUAAGAUUUGUGUUUGUCCAUAUAAACUUUAGAACAAGCUUGUCCAUGUCCAGAAAAAUCCAUUACGCUAGCAUGAUAGAAGUUGCAUCUAAACUGUAAAUUGUUUUGGAGAGAUCUUUACUAUGUUGAACCUUACAAUCCAUGGUACUGGUAUAUCUCUAUAUUUACUUAGGUUCAUUUUGAUUUCAUUCAUUAGUAUUUUAUAAUUUUCAGCAUACAGGUCAUAUACAAGUUUUGUUAAGUUUUUAUCUAAAUGCCAUUUUUUUUCUGGAGAGAUUCCAAGUAAUAUUAUGUUUUAAACUUCAGUUACUUCAUAUCUGGGUGUAAGUGCACAGAAACACAAUUGAGUUUUGUUUGUUUGUCUUUUAUCUUGUGACCUUGCUAACUCAUUCAUUAAUUAUAGGUCUGUUUUUAUGAAUCCCUUUGUAUUUUCUACGUAGAUAAUUACGUUGUUUUCAAAUAAGAAUGAUUUUAUUUUUUCUUUCCAAUUUGUGUUAUUCUCAUUUCCAUAUUGCAGCAGCAGAAUGUCUAGUGCUGUAUUCAAUAAAGGUGGUAAGAGUGACUUUUGCCUCAUUUUUGGCCCUACAGGGAAGUAGUAGGUGUUUUACCAUUAAGUGUGGUGUUAUUAUAGAGUUUUUUUUUUUUUUUCCAGUACUGGGAAUUGAACUCAGGACCUUGUACUUGACAGGCAGGCGUGGCCCCACUGAGUUAAAUCCCUAGCUCUAUUGUAGUGGUUUUUUGUGGAUGCCCCUUAUCAAAUUGAGGUGGUUCCCCUCUAUUCCUAAAUUGCUGAGAAUUUUUGUUCUAAAUGAGUAUUAAAUCUUGUCAAAUGUUUUUGGUUUAUCAAUCUAUAUGAUCAUAUAAUUUUUCUUCUUUAACUUGUUGAUAUGACAAACUGCACUGAUGGAUUCCAGCCUUGCAUACCUGGAAUCAAUUGCCUUUGGCCAUGGGAUAUGAUUAUUUUAAUACAUAAUUAGAUUUGAUUUGCUAAUAUUUUGUUGAAGAUUUUUGUGUCUAAAUUCAUGAGAAGUAUUAGUCUGCAAUUUUUUAUUUUUCUUUUGAAAAGUUUCUUGUAAGGCUUUGGUAUUGGAUAAUACUGGGUCUACAAAAUGGGUUGGGAAAUAUUCUAUCCUUUUCUGUUUCUAGAGUAGAUUAUGUAAAGUCAGUGUUAUUGAUGUUAAUUUUUCUUUAAAUGUUUGGGAGAAUUCUCCAGUAAAACUGUGAGAGCCUGGAGAUCGACUCUUUCCUUCCCUCUCCCUCUCCCCUACCAUUUUCUCUGUUUCUUUCAAAAGGGAAGAUUUUAAAGUAUGAACACAACGUCUACAAUGGUUAUAGGUCUAUUCACGUUAUGUAUUUGAUUUGAUUGAGUUUUGUUUAUGAGUUUGGAAGAAUUGGUCCAUUUCUCUCUCAGUUGUCAAAUUUAUGAGGAAAAAAUUGCUUGUAGUUGUCAUUUUUAAAAUGGUUCCAAGAUCUGUGGAGAUACUCUUUCUUUCAUUCCUGAUACUGGUAGGUCAUAUUUUCCUUCUUUUUAUUUUUGAUUCUUACUACAGGUUUAUUGAUUUUUGUCAAUUCUGUCAAUCUGUUUUUGUUUUAUGGAUUUUCUCUAUUGUUAGCCCACUUUCAUUGAUUUCUUCUUUGUUACUUAUUUAUUUUUCUCUGUUUUAUUUUUCUUUUUGCAUUUCUGUUUUUCUUUAUUCAGGAAGACAUAUAGAUUAUAGAUUUUAGGCCUUUCCUCUUUCCAAUAUAUGAAUUUAGUACUAUAAAAUUUCCUUCUAUCGGUAGUAUUACAUUAGCUGUGUCCCAUAUAGUUUGAUAUGUUGCAUUUUCAUUUUAUUCAGUUAUGUGCUAUUAAAAUUAAUUUCCUUUGAGGCUUUGUCAUUGACUAAUGGGUUAUUUAGAAGUGUGACAUUUAAUUUUCUAUUGUUUAAAGACAUUUCCAUUGUCUUUUUACUUUUUCUCAUGUCCAGUUUGAUUUUGCUAUGGUCAAAAAACAUAUAUAUAAUUUGUAUAAUUUAAAUUCUUUUAUAGUUAUUGAGGUUUGUCUUAUGGUCUUGGUUUAUCUUGGUAAAUCUUUCAUAGGCCUUUGAAAAUGGGGUGCAGUAUUAUAUAUAUAGUUGACUCUUUCUAUCAAUGGGUUCUGCAUCUGUGAAUUUACCCAAACAUGGAUUGAAAAUAUUUAAAAAAAUUGUAUCUGUAUUGAACAUGUGCAGACCCUUUUCUUGUUAUUACCUGAUUAUUCUCCAGACAGUAAAGCAUGGCAAUAAUUUAUAUGACAUUUAUAUUGGAUUAGGUAUUAUAAGAAAUCUAGUUAUGAUCUGAAGUACAAGGGAGGAUAUGUAUACACCUUACAUAAAUUCCAUACCAUUUUAUACAAAACACUGGAGCAUUCAUGAAUUUUGGUGUGUGUAGGAUUCCUGGAACCAUUCCCCCAUGGAUACUAAAGGUCAACUAUAUAUGCUAAUAAGAUCUUGAUGAUCGAUUGCUUUGUUCAGAUCACUACAGUUCUUUCUGAUUUUCUGUGUAGUAGUCCUAUCAGUUGUUGAGGGUGUGAAUUUCCCCAACUAUAACUGUGGAUUAUCUUUUUGUAUAUUCACCUCUAUCAGUUUUUGUUUCAUGUAUUUAGAGCUUUGCUUGUUGUGUACAUAUCUACAAUGUUAUAUCUUCUUGGAUAAUUGAUUUUGUUAUUCAUCCCUUUUUGUCGAGCAAUUUUCUGAGGUCCAUUUUAUUGAUACUAAUAUAACCACUCAUGAUUUUUAGAAAUUAAUAUUUUAUUUUUUUAUCUUCUUAUUUUCAACAUAUUUAUGUUGUUUAAUUUGAAAUAAGUUACUUAUAAAAAGCAUGUGGUUGGGUCAUGAUUAUUUUAGGCACUCAAUCAUUGACUUUUAAUUGGUAUAUUUGGCCACUUUAUUUUAUUUUGUUUUUUCUUUCCUCUUUUUCUCCACACUUGUCUCUGUGUGGGUGACUUAAAAAUGUUUAAGUUUAAAUGUUUAAUGAUCUUGAUUUAUAGUAGUUUUUCAUAUAAAAUUUUGUAUAAUUUUCUUUUUUGUUGCGAUGAAUAUCAGAACAUCAACAUGUGAUUUAUCGCUAAUGUAGACUAUUAUAUCAACAUUUUAUCAACUGAGUAAAUACUGGAAAUUUUACAUUUAAGUCCUUUUAUGAAAUAACCUAACUUUUAAAUAUCAUGUCUUGUAUAUAUUUUUAUUCAGUGCCUUUUGUUUUUUUUUGGUACCGGGGGAUCGAACUCAGGUCCUUGCGCUUGCGAGGCAGGCGGUGGAACCACUGAGCUAAAUCCCCAGCCCUUGUAUAUAUUUUUAAAAAUAGUUUUUGUUGCAAUUGUCAUAUGUGAUUAAAAAAAAACCGUGAAAGAAGCAGGGUAUAUUGUAUUUAGCCACGCUGUGGUCUUUCUAUUUUUUGUUUUCUUCCUUCUUGAUGUUCUGAGAUUUGUUCUAUUGUUGUUUCAUUUCUAUUUGAAGAAUUUCACGUAGACAUACUUUAUGGGUGGGUCUGUUCUUUUAAGUUCUUUUAGUUUCCUUUCCUCUGAGAAUUUAUUUCUCCAUUAUUCCCAAGGGAUAGUUUUGCUGGGAAUGGACUUCUUAGUUAAUAAGUCUUUUAGCAGUUGAAAAAUGUGCUAUGUUUUUCUGGUCUUCGUGAUUUCAAAUGGGAAAUCUUAUGACAUUCAAUUUGGUGUUUUCCUUAGGUAAUAUUUUUAUUUUUCUCUUGCUGAUCUCCAGAUUUUCCUCAGUCUUUCUUUUCAAAAGUUCCAAUAUGUUGUGUCUUCCUCUGACCUAUUUUUGGGUUUAACUCUUCGAGGUUUGUUGCAUUUUUGAAUCCGUGUGCUUAUAUCUUUUGCUAAAUCUGGGAGAUUUUUAGCUAUUUCUUUGAAUGUUCUUUGAGUACCACUCUACUUGUCAUCUUCAGGGACACCAAUGAUGCAUUGUUGAGUCUUUGGUUAUUGUCCACAAGUCUCUGUUAAUUUUUUCAAUUUAGUUUUUUCAUGUUGUUCAGAAUGGGUAGAUUCCAGUGGUCUUUCCUCAGGUUUACUGACUUUCUCUGCCAUCUCUAUUAAAUAUUGAGUUUACCUAGCAAGUUUUGUAUUUCAAUUAUUGAAUUUUCCAUUUCUGUAAUUUAUAUUUCAUCCUUUUAAAUGAGCUGUAUUUAUCUACUCAAUUUUACUGACUGUUCUAACUUUUCAUUUGUUUCAAGACCAUGUGUAAUUUCUUGUGGAACCACUUUUGUGAUGCUUAUUAUUGUCAGUCCAUUUCAAUAUCAGGCUUACUGCAGUAUUGGCAUUUGUGGAUUGUCUUUCAUUCAAGUGGUGAUUUUGAUGGCUGUUGAUAGGAUAAGUGACUUUUGAUUGUAUUCUGAAAAUUUUGGCUUUUAUUUUAGAAGACUCUGGAUCCUAUUUAAACUUUUAUGUGAACAAGCAGUCGGUAUGUUUAGGUUAGGUUUAUUUUACAGGCCCUAGUCUACUUUUAGGGCUGUGGUUUAAUUUUUAGAGUCAAUGUGGUGUUAUUUUGGUACUGGUCCCUGCUUAUUCUUGAAUGGGAAGAAAAAUUUCCCCAGGCUGGGACUUCUGAUAAAUCCUUUUGGAGAAGGGUCUCUUACAUAGACAAAGAACACCUCCCAGACUGGAACUUGGGUGAUGGGUUCCCCAUAUCUGUGGGGGAUGGAGAGAGCUUCUUGGACCAUGUGACUGUUAUGAAAAGAUCCCUUACGACUUCAUAGUGUCUCUGAGUGGUAGAAGAGAAUCUAGACCCUGUGAGGAGAAAGAUUUAUUGUUGGUCUAGGGUUACAUUUUAUGCUAUGAACCCCUUGGUAGUGCCUCUAGGUGGGGGUUGCACAGUGUCUUUGAGUGGUGGGUGGGAGUCUCAGGCCUAACACCUCAGUUAGUUUUUAAUCUUUUGCUGCUGCUGGCCCCCAUGUAUGGAGGGUGGGGAGCCGAGCCAUGUUGAGUGAGCAUUGUCCUAUCUUCCUGGGUUAGACACUCAUGAACAUUGCCUGUUCUCUGAAUAUAUGCUGCUUGACACAUUGGCCACUGGAAAGAAAUAGUUGGGGGCAACCCACCUGGCUUCUCCUAACAAAGCUCUUCUAGAAUAAACAUGCAUUCUCCUAACAUGUUCUGCAGGUGCUCAGGGUGUCCCACCUAAGCCUGGCACUUCUUUGGCCCUCCUCACAUCAUUUUUUGUCGUUCUUUUCUGAGUAUAUGUUUUCUUUCUCAAUCAACUUUCAUCUUCUCUUUAUAUUUCAAGACGUCCUCAUGCCUUUGGGUCUACUAAAGAGACCCCUUUCUGUAUUUCAGGGGAGAGUAGAAGGGUACUUAUGCCAGGUGUCACAUGUCACUUACCGAUGGUGAUACAUUCUGAGAAGUGUGUCAUUAAAUUAUUUUAUAAUAUGAAUAUUAUAGAGUCUACUUACACAAACUUGGAUGAGUAUAGUUUACUGAUACCAAGGCUAUUUAAUAUAGCCACACAUAUGUUGGUUAUAUCUAAUCAGGUCAACAGACACACACACAGAGACACACACACACACAGAGAGAGAGAGAGAGAGGGAGGGAGAGAGAGAGAGGCAGAAAGACGUAGAAACAGAGCAAUAGACUGAAAAUACAAUUUACUGCUAUCAUUGUUAAAAGAUACGCAGUUCAUGUUGGACUGAAAUGUCAUUACAUUUCAGACUUUGAGAGUAGAAGUUUAGCUUCCCAUCUUCACUUAAUCUCUUUUUCAAAGUCUGUUUUCUCAAACUUUCUAGAAUAAACACGCAUUACUUUGAUAUCAGUGAAAUCCAUAAAAUGAUGAAAAAUCUUUCCCAUUUUCUUGGCUCUGUGUUGCACAUUCUGCUAGGGGUACAGGCUCAGUGCCUUCCUCUUGAGGAGCUCACAGUGAGGGGGAAAUGCGUGUUCUUUGGAAAAUGUCCCCCAGGCAGUGGAAGGAAUAUCUAUGCUCUUGGGGGCAUGGAGCUGGGGCUUCCAGCUGCAGAGCUGGGCUCAUCCUCUGAAAGGGUGUGUGCAACUGUUGAAGGUUGCUCCCGAGUCUCACAGGAGGGGCUAAUCCUUCCCCUUCUUCAAAUUGCCAGUGUGUGCAAAAUGCUAACACUACACAUUUAAGUGACGUAUAGAUCAGAACAGAAUCAUAGCUUGAUGACAUAAAUUAAAGUAAUUAUAUUCAUUAGCAUGAUAAAAAAUAUGCAAACAAAUGUUUAUUAAAUGCAACCAUACAUCAACUCCAAAGGCUUUGGCGUUGUUUAUGUCUUUGUUGCUUCAGCAUUUUGUCAAAGGUGGCCUGUCAUGCUGAACUUAAUUGACACUAAUAAAAGCGGAGGGAGGAGGAGCCAGCCCAGAAUGUCAUUUGGCUGUGUAAGCUCAGGAGGGUUGAGGAUUUGCCUCCAGGCCUCACUGAGUCUUUCUGCCACUGGCCCUCACGUAGGCUUGGAGAAGGAAGUCCAGGUCUCCUCAUGUUUAAUGGAGGCAGCACUGCCAACCUUAUCGAGAUAUUUGAGGAUGCACACCCAAGGGUCCAGAGUCCCUUUCUCCUACUAUCAGCACCUGAUCAGAUAAAAGGGACCGUUUUCUGUAAGGGUUAGAUAUGUCUUCCCAGCAGCUGUUGUCCCCUCUCUGGCAAGUGGAAGUGCUUGCCUGUGCUCAAGAUGGGAGUAGCAAGGCUGUGGUACACUUGUGUUGGGUGCUGGCUGGUGAACCUGGCAGGCUGCUCUGACAAGGCAUCUUAUUUUCCCUGAAAGCAUCCGAAUACUACCUAGAAGCCUACUCACAAAAAGAGCAGCCUUAGCUGUGAUGCUCAAGUUCACCGAGGGACUUGCUUUGCCAUGAGAACUGGUAUAUCACAGAUUUGCCUCUGAGCGAAGGCCCUGUCCAAUGGGCACAUGGCCAGUAAUUAUUACCAUUGUUUACCAAGCCCUGAAGAGUGUUUAGAAAGAGCCAGGCUGGAAGCAAUUUGAGCAGUCUGUCUGUCUUCUGUCCAGUGUGUGUUGAGUGUAGCUCAGGUGGAGAGUGAAGACCAUGAGGAAAUGUGGAGAGGGAGAUAUGGACAAUAAGCAAGGCAGAUGGUCUAGGGAAGAGAUCAGAGCUGGUCAUUGCUUUCCCUCAGCUUUAUUUUUCUACCUCUGUGUUAUACUUCAAGUUCUAUGAAAACCUUAGUCAGCCUUAGUCAGGAGGAUUUGGCUCUGGUUGUGGACAGUUUGGAGUAUCAUUCAGUCCCAUCCAUCUUGGGGACCUGUUUAUCUCCUAGUCAAGGGGCAGUUGAGCGACUUACUAUGCCACAUCUUGGAUUUGUCUUUUCCGAUUCUUGUCUCUGAUGACCAUUAGGCUCUCUGUCCAGUUUGACUUUUUGGGUCUCACCAGUGCUCCUACAUCUGCCCUUUACAGGAAAAAGAUGUUGUAGAGAACAAGGCUUCUUCAUCUUUAGAAGAUUCCUUCCAUCUUGAAAAGGAAGUAGAAAUGGAAAUGCUGAGAUUCAGAUGUCUGGAGUCACCAUGACCCCCAGAAUAAUAAGAAGAAAAGGUACUCUUUUUAAAACAAGAAAAUACAACCUUGACAGAGAGAAGUGAUUCAUGCCUAAUGGUUCCUGUGAAGGUGUGAGGGGUCUUUGGACUGGGAUAAGGCCCUGAAGUCUCCAUCUUUAUAGGUGAAAUUGAGGUGGUUACAAAAGGUAAGGACUUCUGUGGAACUGGAGGUCUUUUUGUAAGAAAAGGGAUCAGAAGAUGUGGAGAAACACUGGCUGCACAUGAUGGUGAUAAAUGACGACAGGCCAGGCAUGGCUGGGAAGGAUGCUCCACAUGCUGCUGUCCUACUCCAACAUCUGGCUGGGCAGAUUUGCCUUCUGAGCCCAGGACAUGGCUUGGUGAACAUCUCCAGACAGCACAUCCUCAUCCUAAGGUUAGGUCAGCAGACACCUGCAACAAAUAUGAUUGCAAGGGUGAAGGUGACAUGAUUUACUUAAAUCAGGCAAUUUCUCCAUUAAGGCAUUGAAGCCUCAAUUCAUAAAGACACUCUUUAGCAGGCUGUCUGCAGGCGAGGUCUGUCCUCAGCAAAUCAAAGCAUCGGGGCGCGUGUACCUGCUGCCGUCUCGCCCCUCCUCCGCGACACUGCCCGAGAUUAAGUGUUGAUUCAAUACGAUGCUUCACCUUCUACAAGUGAUGGCGACCUGCCGAUCUGUGCUGUUUUUGGUGGGAGUGCUCUGACUGGGCUCUAAAAUCUUCCUGUUUUUUUGCCAUACCAUGAAAAUAUAAAAGUCUCAUUUCAAAAACUGGAAAUAAGUGACCAGCUGGCUGACAGUGAGGUCCUCCACUUCAGGGAGCGGG